GUGCUCACUUCGGCAGCACAUACACUAAAAUUGGAAGGAUGCAGAGAAGAUUAGCACUAGCACGGCCCCUGCACAAGGGUGACAUGCAAAUUCGUGAAGUGUUUCAUAUUUUU
rfam:Felis catus isolate Cinnamon breed Abyssinian chromosome B4, whole genome shotgun sequence.